GGUUUGUCGCGUUGUUCGUGAAAUCUCACGGCUUAACUGUGAGCGUGCGGGCGAUACGGGCAGACUUGAGUACUGCAGGGGAGACUGGAAUUCCUGGUGUAGCGGUGGAAUGCGCAGAUAUCAGGAGGAACACCGGUGGCGAAGGCGGGUCUCUGGGCAGUAACUGACGCUGAGGAGCGAAAGCGUGGGGAGCGAACAGGAUUAGAUACCCUGGUAGUCCACGCCGUAAACGGUGGGUACUAGGUGUGGGUUUCCUUCCUUGGGAUCCGUGCCGUAGCUAACGCAUUAAGUACCCCGCCUGGGGAGUACGGCCGCAAGGCUAAAACUCAAAGAAAUUGACGGGGGCCCGCACAAGCGGCGGAGCAUGCGGAUUAAUUCGAUGCAACGCGAAGAACCUUACCUGGGUUUGACAUGCACAGGACGCCGGCAGAGAUGUCGGUUCCCUUGUGGCCUGUGUGCAGGUGGUGCAUGGCUGUCGUCAGCUCGUGUCGUGAGAUGUUGGGUUAAGUCCCGCAACGAGCGCAACCCUUGUCUCAUGUUGCCAGCGGGUAAUGCCGGGGACUCGUGAGAGACUGCCGGGGUCAACUCGGAGGAAGGUGGGGAUGACGUCAAGUCAUCAUGCCCCUUAUGUCCAGGGCUUCACACACGCUACAAUGGCCGGUACAAAGGGCUGCGAUGCCGCGAGGUUAAGCGAAUCCUUUUAAAGCCGGUCUCAGUUCGGAUCGGGGUCUGCAACUCGACCCCGUGAAGUCGGAGUCGCUAGUAAUCGCAG
rnacentral:rRNA from 1 species